rnacentral:rRNA from 1 species
GACGUAGGGCGCGAGCGUUGUCCGGAUUUAUUGGGCGUAAAGAGCUCGUAGGCGGCUUGUUGCGUCAGCUGUGAAAACCCGCAGCUCAACUGUGGGCUUGCAGCUGAUACGGGCAGGCUUGAGUUCGGUAGGGGAGACUGGAAUUCCAGGUGUAGCGGUGAAAUGCGUAGAUAUCUGGAGGAACACCGGUGGCGAAGGCGGCAUCCUGGACCGGCAUUGACGCUGAGACGCGAAAGCUAGGGGAGCGAACAGG